rnacentral:snoRNA from 1 species
AUGUGGGUGAUGAAAAAAAUCGUUCGGAUUCCCUAUGAUUUCCUUUUGGAAAUGUGAUUCCUAACCAGCUACUUCUGACGCAU